CCUACGGGGAGCUGCAGUGAGGAAUAUUGGUCAAUGGACGGAAGUCUGAACCAGCCAUGCCGCGUGCAGGAAGACGGCUCUAUGAGUUGUAAACUGCUUUUGUACAAGGGUAAACCUGAAUACGUGUAUUCAGCUGAAAGUACUGUACGAAUAAGGAUCGGCUAACUCCGUGCCAGCAGCCGCGGUAAUACGGAGGAUCCAAGCGUUAUCCGGAUUUAUUGGGUUUAAAGGGUGCGUAGGCGGAUUGAUAAGUUAGAGGUGAAAUGUCCGGGCUUAACUCGGGAACUGCCUCUAAUACUGUUGAUCUAGAGAGUAGAUGCGGUAGGCGGAAUGUAUGGUGUAGCGGUGAAAUGCUUAGAGAUCAUACAGAACACCGAUUGCGAAGGCAGCUUACCAGUCUAUAUCUGACGUUGAGGCACGAAAGCGUGGGGAGCGAACAGGAUUAGAUACCCCUGUAGUC
rnacentral:rRNA from 1 species